ensembl:lncRNA
CUUUACUGUGCCUGGCUUAAUUCAGACAUUUAGCUGAUGUUUGUUGAAUGAAUCAAUGAAAGAAUGAGUGACAUAGAAAACAUACUCUUACUUGAAAACACAGCAAUGUGUGAAGUUGAUUGUGGAUGGCACCGAAGGACAAAACUGGAACAUUAGGUAGGACCAAAAUACAAGUAAAAGACCUUAAAGACAAGUCCAGAUUUCAUCUUUAGUCAGUAGAUAACAGUGUUGGUUUCUGAGCACAGGAGCUACAUGUUAACCUUUGUGUUUCAGAAUGAAUAUUAUAAAUGUGAAGGGAAGCUUAUGGAGAGUUUGAAUUUGAGGAAAAUCCAGAAAUCACAUGGUGCCAGAACAGGAUUAAUUGGCUUACCCUGAAAGGGCCACUGUCUCCUCCAUCAGCCUGGACCCAGAAGCCAAAGCAUCAAGAAGACAGAAAAUAGUGAAUACUACCAGCCUUUGCAAAAAUGUG